rnacentral:rRNA from 1 species
UGCAGUCGACGAUGAAGCCCAGCUUGCUGGGUGGAUUAGUGGCGAACGGGUGAGUAACACGUGAGCAACGUGCCCAUAACUCUGGGAUAACCACCGGAAACGGUGGCUAAUACUGGAUAUCUAACAUGAUCGCAUGGUCUGUGUUUGGAAAGAAUUUUGGUUAUGGAUCGGCUCACGGCCUAUCAGCUUGUUGGUGAGGUAAUGGCUCACCAAGGCGACGACGGGUAGCCGGCCUGAGAGGGUGACCGGCCACACUGGGACUGAGACACGGCCCAGACUCCUACGGGAGGCAGCAGUGGGGAAUAUUGCACAAUGGGCGAAAGCCUGAUGCAGCAACGCCGCGUGAGGGAUGACGGCCUUCGGGUUGUAAACCUCUUUUAGUAGGGAAGAAGCGAAAGUGACGGUACCUGCAGAAAAAGCACCGGCUAACUACGUGCCAGCAGCCGCGGUAAUACGUAGGGUGCAAGCGUUGUCCGGAAUUAUUGGGCGUAAAGAGCUCGUAGGCGGUUUGUCGCGUCUGCUGUGAAAUCCCGAGGCUCAACCUCGGGUCUGCAGUGGGUACGGGCAGACUAAAGUGUGGUAGGGGAGAUUGGAAUUCCUGGUGUAGCGGUGGAAUGCGCAGAUAUCAGGAGGAACACCGAUGGCGAAGGCAGAUCUCUGGGGCAUUACUGACGCUGAGGAGCGAAAGCAUGGGGAGCGAACAGGAUUAGAUACCCUGGUAGUCCAUGCCGUAAACGUUGGGCGCUAGAUGUGGGGACCAUUCCACGG